AACGAACGCUGGCGGCAGGCCUAACACAUGCAAGUCGAACGCCCUAGCAAUAGGGAGUGGCAGACGGGUGAGUAACGCGUGGGAACCUUCCCUGUGGUGCGGAAUAACUCGCCGAAAGGCGUGCUAAUACCGCAUAAGCCCGCAAGGGGAAGAUUUAUCGCCAUAGGAUGGGCCCGCGUAGGAUUAGCUAGUUGGUGAGGUAAUGGCUCACCAAGGCGACGAUCCUUAGCUGGUGAGAGAAUGACCAGCCACACUGGGACUGAGACACGGCCCAGACUCCUACGGGAGGUAGCAGUGGGGAAUCUUGGACAAUGGGCGCAAGCCUGAUCCAGCCAUGCCGCGUGAGUGACGAAGGCCUUCGGUUGUAAAG
rnacentral:rRNA from 1 species